GCUCAGAGUGAACGCUGGCGGUAGGCCUAACACAUGCAAGUCGAACGGCAGCACAGGAGAGCUUGCUCUCUGGGUGGCGAGUGGCGGACGGGUGAGGAAUACAUCGGAAUCUACUCUGUCGUGGGGGAUAACGUAGGGAAACUUACGCUAAUACCGCAUACGACCUACGGGUGAAAGCAGGGGACCUUCGGGCCUUGCGCGAUUGAAUGAGCCGAUGUCGGAUUAGCUAGUUGGCGGGGUAAAGGCCCACCAAGGCGACGAUCCGUAGCUGGUCUGAGAGGAUGAUCAGCCACACUGGAACUGAGACACGGUCCAGACUCCUACGGGAGGCAGCAGUGGGGAAUAUUGGACAAUGGGCGCAAGCCUGAUCCAGCCAUACCGCGUGGGUGAAGAAGGCCUUCGGGUUGUAAAGCCCUUUUGUUGGGAAAGAAAUCCAGCUGGCUAAUACCCGGUUGGGAUGACGGUACCCAAAGAAUAAGCACCGGCUAACUUCGUGCCAGCAGCCGCGGUAAUACGAAGGGUGCAAGCGUUACUCGGAAUUACUGGGCGUAAAGCGUGCGUAGGUGGUCGUUUAAGUCCGUUGUGAAAGCCCUGGGCUCAACCUGGGAACUGCAGUGGAUACUGGGCGACUAGAAUGUGGUAGAGGGUAGCGGAAUUCCUGGUGUAGCAGUGAAAUGCGUAGAGAUCAGGAGGAACAUCCAUGGCGAAGGCAGCUACCUGGACCAACAUGACACU
rnacentral:rRNA from 1 species